rnacentral:lncRNA from 1 species
CCCAUCAUCAUUUUAUGUUACUAGGUUGCUGGAAAAAAAAAUAAGAAACCUAGUUUACGGGUAUAUUCAUGAAAAACCCUUCACAAAACCUAGCUAUCACGAACAAGGUUGUAUGGAUUCAGGGCUAGGGUUGACCAUAACUAAUUUAAAAAAAUCAAAAAAAAUAUGAAACUUGCACCCAUCAUCUUUUUAUGUUACUAGGUUGCUGAAAAAAAUAAGAAAA